UACGUAGGGUCCGAGCGUUGUCCGGAAUUAUUGGGCGUAAAGGGCUCGUAGGCGGUUUGUCACGUCGGGAGUGAAAACUCAGGGCUCAACCCUGAGCGUGCUUCCGAUACGGGCAGACUAGAGGUAUGCAGGGGAGAACGGAAUUCCUGGUGUAGCGGUGGAAUGCGUAGAUAUCUGGAGGAACACCGGUGGCGAAGGCGGCAUCCUGGACCGGUAUUGACGCUGAGGCGCGAAAGCUAGGGGAGCAAACGGG
rnacentral:rRNA from 1 species